rnacentral:rRNA from 1 species
AUUGAACGCUGGCGGCAGGCCUAACACAUGCAAGUCGAACGAGUGGCGGACGGGUGAGUAAUGUCUGGGAAACUGCCUGAUGGAGGGGGAUAACUACUGGAAACGGUAGCUAAUACCGCAUACCAUCGGAUGUGCCCAGAUGGGAUUAGCUAGUAGGUGGGGUAAAGGCUCACCUAGGCGACGAUCCCUAGCUGGUCUGAGAGGAUGACCAGCCACACUGGAAAUGAGACACGGUCCAGACUCCUACGGGAGGCAGCAGUGGGGAAUAUUGCACAAUGGGCGAAAGCCUGAUGCAGCCAUGCCGCGUGUGUGAAGAAGGUCUUCGGAUUGUAAAGUACUUUCAGCUGGGAGGCGUUACCAGCAGAAUAAGCACCGGCUAACUCCGUGCCAGCAGCCGCGGUAAUAC